CAGACAAUGGGGAUGAAAGAAAGAGUGAUGUUGAAUAGGAUAGUGUGUUGUAAAGAGAAGCCAACUAGAGGCAGAUGUCAUCUAUGGGAUAAGUGUCUACUUUAACAAGUGGCACCUGCAACAUUGUACAGGGGUUCAGCUAUACAGGCCCAUGAUGAAAAAUGAAAUUGACUCCUACAGGAUCCCUGUGG